rnacentral:rRNA from 1 species
GAUGAACGCUGGCGGCGUGCCUAAUACAUGCAAGUCGAACGAAACUUCUUUAUCACCGAGUGCUUGCACUCACCGAUAAAGAGUUGAGUGGCGAACGGGUGAGUAACACGUGGGCAACCUGCCCAAAAGAGGGGGAUAACACUUGGAAACAGGUGCUAAUACCGCAUAACCAUAGUUACCGCAUGGUAACUAUGUAAAAGGUGGCUAUACUACCGCUUUUGGAUGGGCCCGCGGCGCAUUAGCUAGUUGGUAGGGUAAAGGCUUACCAAGGCAAUGAUGCGUAGCCGAAUUGAGAGGUUGAUCGGCCACAUUGGAACUGAGACACGGCCCAGACUCCUACGGGAGGCAGCAGUAGGGAAUCUUCCGCAAUGGGCGAAAGCCUGAUGGAGCAACGCCGCGUGGGUGAAGAAGGUCUUCGGAUCGUAAAACCCUGUUGUUAGAGAAGAAAGUACGUGAGAGUAACUGUUCACGUUUCGACGGUAUCUAACCAGAAAGCCACGGCUAACUACGUG